rnacentral:rRNA from 1 species
AGCCCUAAGGAUUUAUUUAGGGUGAAACCUGCCCAGUGAUAUUUUCAACGGCCGCGGUACUCUGACCGUGCUAAGGUAGCAUAAUCAAUUGACUUUUAAAUGAAGUCUGGAAUGAAUGGGAUAACGGAAUUUAACUGUCUCAACUUCUUUAACUAGAAUUUACUAACUAAGUGAAAAGGCUUAGGAAAGAUAAAAGACGAGAAGACCCUAAGAGUUUAAACAUUUUGUUGGGGCGACAGAGGAUCAGAACAUCCUUUUUUAAUGUGACGGCUUUUUCAUGAGAAGAUAAACUACCUUAGGGAUAACAGCAUAAUUCUUUUUGAGUUUGUGACCUCGAUGUUGGACUAGGAAGCUUUUAGGCUAGCUGCCUAAACUGGGGAUUCUGUUCGAAUUUUUACUCCU